rnacentral:misc_RNA from 1 species
AAGGUCAUUAACCAAGGUUUAACGGCGGGGGUACAUCCUGAAACAUCCAAUGGCAAACGAAUUCAGGGUAGUUCACGGCCCAAGUUCCCCCUUUUUCCAACCGUUGCUUGGCACCCCUUUUCGGCCGGUUUAACCCUAGAAUCUCUGCUGUCUGAGUACUAUACAAUAGUUAAAA